rnacentral:misc_RNA from 1 species
AACGCAUCUUGCGCUCCUUGGUAUUCCGAGGAGCAUGCCUGUUUGAGUGUCAUUAAGUUCUCAACUGCACUAGUUCUUUCUGGUGCAGCUUGGAUGUGGGGGUGUUUUUUGCAGGCUUUUCAAAGUCGGCUCCCCUGAAAUGCAUUAGUGGUCUCCUAGCAGAGAAACUGCUACAGGUGUGAUAAUUAUCUAUGCCUUUAGUACUCUGCAAGAACGGAUUGCACUGCUUCUUAACAAGUGAAAUCCCUGUUAUGGGGAGUGCACAUUUGACAAAUUUGACCUCAAAUCAGGUAGGACUACCCGCUGAACUUAA